GGUGAACGCUGGCGGCGUGCCUAAUACAUGCAAGUCGAGCGAACGGACGAGAAGCUUGCUUCUCUGAUGUUAGCGGCGGACGGGUGAGUAACACGUGGAUAACCUACCUAUAAGACUGGGAUAACUUCGGGAAACCGGAGCUAAUACCGGAUAAUAUUUUGAACCGCAUGGUUCAAAAGUGAAAGACGGUCUUGCUGUCACUUAUAGAUGGAUCCGCGCUGCAUUAGCUAGUUGGUAAGGUAACGGCUUACCAAGGCAACGAUGCAUAGCCGACCUGAGAGGGUGGUCGGCCACACUGGAACUGAGACACGGUCCAGACUCCUACGGGAGGCAGCAGUAGGGAAUCUGCCGCAAUGGGCGAAAGCCUGACGGAGCAACGCCGCGUGAGUGAUGAAGAUCUUCGGAUCGUAAAACUCUGUUAUUAGGGAAGAACAUAUGUGUAAGUAACUGUGCACAUCUUGACGGUACCUAAUCAGAAAGCCACGGCUAACUACGUG
rnacentral:rRNA from 1 species